rnacentral:sRNA from 1 species
CCCAGUUGGAGAAAAAAAAAGUUAGAUAGCGGCUAACUUGGGGAAUGAACUUCGACGUCAGGGAAAAACCAUCACCAGUAUGAAAUGUCAGAGAUCAGAUCUCGCUGUCAUGGUCUGCGGCAAGUAGGAAUGACUUCACCCUGCAGCUACCCAAACUGCACCUGGAGACCUUUGCAAUGGAGGCGCUCAAGGGCAGGCCAGAGGUGGUAGCAUGCCAGGCUAUGAUUAAAAGUUUCAUGGAUGUCUACCAGCUUGCAAGCACUAGAAUCAUGACAUUAGAGAAGGAAAUGACAUCUCAUCGAAGUCACAUUGCAGCCUUGAAAUCAGAACUUCACACAGCUUGUUUACGUGAAAAUGCAAGUUUACAAUCAAUAGGAUCACGAGACCAUUCAAAUCUCUCCAUUCCUUCAAGAGCUCCUCUUCCUGCUGACACAACUGGUAUGGGGGAUUUCUUACCAUUGAAAGCUGAACUUGAUACUACUUACACUUUCUUAAAGG